GGUGACGGCAGUUGUGAUGGAGUGGGAUUCAGAUUCCGCCAGGUGCUUAGCAGUACUCAGCUGUUGACAGGGGUAGUAUGAUGUCGAGUAGAUUUGGAGGACGUGGCACAAUCGAUGACCAACGAAUUAGGGACUGGGUGUUUAAAGAGGGGAUUCCAUGGUACUCACAAGCCGAAGUCCAAAGCCAGAAAUCAGUCCGAUCUUUCGCCAAACAGUGGAACAAGAAGGCCAAGGUAAUUUCAGUCCGGGUCAAAAUGAUAGUAGUAGUCAAUAGAAUAGUCAAACAGUCCAAUAUCAAAAGCCAGUGAAUCAAAACUGAGAAAUUUUUCCAAAGAUUCAGCACAAAGGAGCCGUAGAAACCAAGUGAUUUCCACAGCGGUCGCAAAGGAACUGAGCAGCCUGCGCUUCCUUCCGCCUUAAAUAGCCAUGCGCAGGCGCCUGAAAGGAGCUGUAAAACUCGACACCGAGAGGCUUCCACGCAGGCACAGAACCCAUUCUAAUGCAUAUCAACGGAUCCCGUACCAGAUCCAUCUGUUUGGAUGGUUGGAUGACUUUCAGAUGGUUACUCCUGAGGAUGGGGAGAAAAUGCUCUGGA